CAGUAGCCGCGGGAAUACAGAGGGUGCAAGCGUUAAUCGGAAUUACUGGGCGUAAAGCGCGCGUAGGUGGUUUGUUAAGUUGGAUGUGAAAUCCCCGGGCUCAACCUGGGAACUGCAUCCAAAACUGGCAAGCUAGAGUAUGGUAGAGGGUGGUGGAAUUUCCUGUGUAGCGGUGAAAUGCGUAGAUAUAGGAAGGAACACCAGUGGCGAAGGCGACCACCUGGACUGAUACUGACACUGAGGUGCGAAAGCGUGGGGAGCAAACAGGAUUAGAUACCCCAGUAGUCCUGUCUCUUAUACA
rnacentral:rRNA from 1 species